GACGUCCUGCCGGUGGCGGUCCGGGCUUUCGGGUAUGUGUAGGUUCUACCGAAGCAUCCCGAUAGUUCCGGCCGCCGAUCCAAUCCCGCCGCGGUGCUCUUAACUGAGUGUCGAGGUGGGCCGGCACGUUUACUUUGAACAAAUUAGAGUGCUUAAAGCAGGCUGAUUUCCGCCUGAAUACUGUGUGCAUGGAAUAAUGGAAUAGGACUUCGGUUCUAUUUUGUUGGUUUUAAGAAUCCGAAGUAAUGAUUAAUAGGGACAGGCGGGGGCAUUCGUAUUGCGACGUUAGAGGUGAAAUUCUUGGAUCGUCGCAAGACGUACCUAAGCGAAAGCAUUUGCCAAGUAUGUCCUCGUUAAUCAAGAACGAAAGUUAGAGGUUCGAAGGCGAUCAGAUACCGCCCUAGUUCUAACCAUAAACGAUGCCAGCCAGCGAUCCGCCAAAGUUCCUCCGAUGACUUGGCGGGCAGCUUCCGGGAAACCAAAGCUUUUGGGUUCCGGGGGAAGUAUGGUUGCAAAGCUGAAACUUAAAGGAAUUGACGGAAGGGCACCACCAGGAGUGGAGCCUGCGGCUUAAUUUGACUCAACACGGGAAACCUCACCAGGCCCGGACACCGGAAGGAUUGACAGAUUGAUAGCUCUUUCUUGAUUCGGUGGGUGGUGGUGCAUGGCCGUUCUUAGUUGGUGGAGCGAUUUGUCUGGUUAAUUCCGAUAACGAACGAGACUCUAGCCUGCUAACUAGGCGUUUCCGGUAUCCACAAUAGUGCUACCGGCGAAUAAAUUUCUUCUUAGAGGGACAGGCGGCUUCUAGCCGCACGAGACUGAGCAAUAACAGGUCUGUGAUGCCCUUAGAUGUCCUGGGCCGCACGCGCGCUACACUGAAGGAAUCAGCGUGUCUUCCCUGGCCGAAAGGUCCGGGUAACCCGUUGAACCUCCUUCGUGCUAGGGAUUGGGGCUUGCAAUUGUUCCCCAUGAACGAGGAAUUCCCAGUAAGCGCGAGUCAUAAGCUCGCGUUGAUUACGUCCCUGCCCUUUGUACACACCGCCCGUCGCUACUACCGAUUGAAUGAUUUAGUGAGGUCUUCGGACUGGUGCGCGGCGAUCGCCUCGUGUGGUCGCCGA
rnacentral:rRNA from 1 species